rnacentral:rRNA from 1 species
GACGAACGCUGGCGGCGUGCUUAACACAUGCAAGUCGAGCGAGGUCCAUCCAGUCGCAAGACUGGGGAAGAUCUAGCGGCGAACGGGUGAGUAACACGUGAGCAACCUGCCCCGAAGUCUGGGAUAACACCGGGAAACCGGUGCUAAUACCGGAUGUCCUCAUUGGACCGCAUGAUUCGAUGAGGAAAGAAUUUCGCUUCGGGAGGGGCUCGCGGGCUAUCAGCUUGUUGGUGGGGUAACGGCCCACCAA